rnacentral:lncRNA from 1 species
GAAUGUAGGGUACCGGACUUCGAAAAUCAUGAGGUUACGGUGUCCGUUCGGUUGGAGAGCCAUUUGAAUGGUUCCGGUAAGGUUGCGGUGUAAUGUAAUAUACCGGAUUUAAAUAUAAAAAUAAAAAUAAAUAAAAAUAGUAUGAGAUACUAUUUUUAUUGGAUUUAGAGAAGUGAAAUAUAGGUUGGGAAUGACCUGUGCUGAAAUCGGAGCGAAAACAGAAGAUUUAGAAUUUUCUGUGGGAAACGGGACAGAAAAAUUAACAGAAAAUGCAGUCUCAGAAAAUUAUGAAAAUUAGAGAAUAAGNUGUGUGUAAUUUAAUUACAUAAGCACUCGUCAAGUUUCAGGAGAAAAUGAGUUAGAACAGAGAAGUUACGCGAUCAUUAGUAUUCACUUAAGUGAAUAGUAAGUCCGGUUUUCCGGAGAAGCCACGGAGUACAGUUGGCUUUCGACGCGUAUCAGACUCCAUUCAUAGCGAUCCAAUAGCUCGUUUCGACCAGUUCAGCUAUUCUGGAACCAAUGGCACUGACGGAUUUCAGAUCUGAUACACGGUUUUCGAUAAAAAAGGAUUUUUAUCGAAAGGAGAGUUUUUACUUUUUGCUAGUCUUGCAUUGUGAAACCCCUCGUGCUCCAUGCUUGUGAUCUGGAGUUGGGUGAGAGAUGUUUAGGGUCCCUACUAGUGGUAGGGAAGUUAUUUUCAAGUGCGAAUUAAGGUUUAUCGGGUUUACACAUUGGUAUAUGUAGGGUACCGGACUUCGAAAAUCAUGAGGUUACGGUGUCCGUUCGGUUGGAGAGCCAUUUGAAUGGUUCUGGUAAGGUUGCGGUGUAAUGUAAUAUACCGGAUUUAAAUAUAAAAAUAAAAAUAAAUAAAAAUAGUAUGAGAUACUAUUUUAUUGGAUUUAGAGAAGUAAAACAUAAGUCAGAAGUGACUUGUGCUGAAAUCGGGAUGAAAACAGAAGAUCUAGAAUUUUCUGUUGGAAACGGGACAGAAGAAUUAACAGAAAAUGCACAGUCUCAGAAAAUUAUGAAAAUUGGAGGAUAAGUCAGAAAUAUUUUUAUGAGGCUAGAUUUAAGGUUUCAUAUUUUUCUGACACCCGUAGAGUGAGAAAUAGAAUCCGAAGGCUAUCUGAUAAAGAUUGCAGUUCGGCACAGUUUUCGGUGACCAAACGGGGUCGAAACUGAAAACUUAAGAUAUAUUCUUGCUCAGUACGUUAAACUGAGUAUGCCUGUCAAAUUUGAGCUCAAUCGGACAUCCAGAAGGGCUCCAACGGAACUUAUCAGAUUUAGGGACUAAAUUGAAAGAUUGCAUAGUUGAGGGGCUAACU